UAUGAUUCUAUUCUAUGAUUCACAGCCACGAAAGACGAGGCAAAAAAGCACCGUUACCGGCAGAAAAUAUCCGAGUACAUGACCAGAGCUGAAGACAUUAAAAAACACAUUGAAAAAGAGAAACAAGAUGGCAAAUACCAUAAGCAAAUCAGGAUAGAGGAAAAUGCAACAGGUUUCAGCUACGAAAAGCUUUUCCGAGAGUACCUUACUGAGAUUGUUUCUGAAGUUUGGGUGGAGGACCCAUACAUUAGGCAUGUUCAUCAGUUGUAUAACUUCCUACGAUUCUGCGAGAUGCUAGUUAAGGGGCCGUGCAAAGUGAAAACAAUCCACCUCCUCACUUCCUGGGAUGAAGGUAGUGGGAGGAGUCAGCAGAUAAGUGGCUUGGAAGAAAUACAACAAUCGUUGAAGAAUUAUGGAGUAACACUGGAUAUUGCAUAUUCGUCUUCGAUACAUGAUCGAGAAAUUAGAUUCAACAAUGGAUGGAUGAUUAAGAUUGGAAGGGGUCUUGAUUAUUUUAAGAAACCACAGGGUCGUUUCAGCAUUGGAUACUGUGACUUUGACUUGCGACCUUGUCAUGAAACAACAGUGGAUGUCUUUCAUACUAAACAUACAAAGAAAAUGUGAUCAGAUAUGACUGCUUUCAAUGAGUGUUUUUAUAAGCAUAAAAAUGUAAGACUGGAAGAUGCUGCUUGAAUCCAGCUGUCCACCCUCAGAAGCAACUCUCCUAGGUACUUAGUCCAGCACAGCUUUUAUAAUCUAUAGGUUUAAGAACAUAUGAGACACUUAGCACAACCGUACAAUUCCUCCACUGUACUUCUCCCAUAAUCUUAAUUAAUACAAUCCAGGUCUAAAUUUGGUCUUGAUUUCAUAACGGACCGUCAACACUGUCUCUCAAAAGCCUCUUUACUGUCAUUUCCAUUUUCACUAUUAAUUUUUUCUUGAGCAGAUUUUGUUUUCCAUAUCUUUAAUUGACCACCUUACAAAUGUUAGAAGCUGGGCUGCCACGUGUCCUCUUUUAUAAGCAGCCUUAUUUAUUUCCUUGAAUUCCCGUGUUCUAGUCAUGACUACUAUUGUGCUGUGGUUUGGUCAAUCCCAUAAUACCCGAAUUCACAGGCUUUGCUAGCAACCCCAAAUCUAACAUUCCAUUAUCCAAGCUCCUUGCAUACAAGCACUGUAGUGUUCAAUAUACAGAUGUUUUAGGGUUGUCUUAUGUGUCUUUGCAUGAUGGAUUUGGGGCUGGAAAGGAUGCAAACAGCUGUAUUCUUUCCCCUGUCUCUCCUAUACAUUCUUUUAUUCUGUGAUGUAUGGUCAUAUACCUGAUUUCCAUCCUUUGCUUUAGGUGUGAAAAGGUGUACGAUCCUCUCCCAAUCUUUUCCCCUGAAUUCCAAGUUUAAUGUCCUUCCAGCUAGUUCUGCCCAUCUGAACUGCAGUAAGCUAUUUCCCUGCUGCUAAGAUAGUCCCCUAAAAAAUAAUUAAUUUUUAAAUUCUUCUGGAAGUUGGAUACCCUGAAACUUUCUUGUUAAUAAUGAUUCUAACGAAUAUGCUAAUUGGAAAAAAGACAAAAUCUUUUCUUGUCUUCCCAUCAUCCUUUGGAAAGCACAAGGUAUCACCUGAGCUGCUGCUCCUCCUUCUCCUAAUACAAGAGUCCUUGAUCAUUGUCAGCAAGAAUCAAGCAAAGUCAUAUAUUCUGAUAUGAAGAUCUGGCAGCGGCCUCAUUUGCAGGUCCCAUCAAAAUCUUUUCUGCAUCAGAACUGACAGUUUUAGUCAUCUGUUUGAAUUCUUCUCUGCACUACAAAGGAUAAUUGAAGGAAGCUGGGUAAUGCCUUAUAGAUCAGCCAUGUUUGGGAGAAGGUUCACUGUAAGUACAGUAAGCUUCCCAAAUGUAAAGCUUUGUAUCUUUUAACCUAGCCCAGCAAUUUCAAGUGUACAGGGGCAAAAUAAAAAGCCACCUUCAAUAUAAAUAAAUAAAUAUAAAAAAAAUUUAAUGCUUUCUGCAUGUUGUAAUACAAUAUGCCUCUCUGUUCUAGUAGUAAGCCCCUAUGAUACGGUCCUCUACAGAUAACCACAAGAGGCAAGCACGGUCUUCCGUCUUGCCUGUUUGCUGCUAGAACUUUUUCUCUGUUUUCUAACUAGACUGUAGUUCGCCAGCUAAGACUGCAGAUUUCCUUGUAGAUCUCAUGGAUAUGCAGUAUCUGUACACAUGUACAACUGAGUCUUCAGUGACAUCCCAGUUGGCGCUGCACUGCAAUCUUUACCUACAAGCCCUUAAUCUCUGAGUAGUUCUUUUCACUGUCAGUAGGAAGACCAGGUAUGAAGAGGAAUGGGCAUCAAUGAAUGGGAAAAGAAAACCCAACUUAUCAGAGCAAUCUAAGAAUACAGUUCCACGAUCGUUUUACUGACUCCAGGCCAUGUUCUUCUGUGCUGCCACUGGCACUUAACAUAGUCAGGUCAUCACCAGGACUGUCCCUCCUGGCAUCAUCAGUGGAGAUCAGCCUAAGCCACUUUCCCAGCUGGAGUCAGCUGGUGUCGUCCAGUCCUCCUGGCCGAGGGCUGGAUUCACCCCCACUGACUGCUCUCCUUAGCUACAGCAAUAAACCGCUGCUGUUUUGACCUGAUCAAAACUGCAUUCCAGUUAUGCCGUGACAGAAUUUGGUGCUGUGACUUGGAUUCACACAUCCUGCUCCGCCUGGGAGGACCACAGACUGAUCCCUGCCAAAACCUCCUUGGUGCCACUUUGACAGUGGCUGCCAAGAGAAGACUUUAUGGACUUCGUGUUCGAGAAGCAGAACUGAGAUAGAAGGAUACAAGUAUGCUAACCUGUGGGAAACAAUGGACUUUCAGCUGGUCAGACAAAUGAGGAAUUGUGAACAUCAUGGAAAACUCUUUAUGCAAUUAUUAUAGAAAGUUAUAAAAAAAUAAUAUGCCUGUGAAUUGUGACAGGACUGAGAAGGAAUGUACCGGCAGAGGAACUGAGAACUUUCUACUGACGAAGAAGAAUAGAGGAAUUGAGAAUGCAGUGGAGACUUACCGUAGACUUUGUCUAUUAUGUAAUCAUGUUGAAAAGGUAUAUAAGGUGU